rnacentral:rRNA from 1 species
GCCUGUUUAUCAAAAACAUGUCUUUUUGAAAAUAAUUUAAAGUUUAAUCUGCCCCCUGAUAUAAAUUGAAGGGCUGCAGUAUUUUGACUGUACAAAGGUAGCAUAAUCAUUAGUCUUUUAAUUGGUGACUUGUAUGAAGGAUUGGAUGAGAUAUAAACUGUCUUAAUUUUAUUUAAUUGAAUUUAAUUUUUUAAUUAAAAAGUUAAAAUAUAUUAAAAAGACGAGAAGACCCUAUAGAGUUUUAUAUUAAUUAAAAUUAUAAUUAUUUAUAAAUUUAUUUAUUAGUAAUUUUUUUUUAAUAUUUUAUUGGGGUGAUAAAAAAAUAAAUAAAACUUUUUUUAAUAUUAAACAAAAAUAAAUGAAUUAAUGAUCCAAUUUUAUUGAUUAAAAGAAAAAAUUACCUUAGGGAUAACAGCGUAAUUUUUUUUUUUAGGCCUUAUAAGAUAAAAAGUUUGCGACCUCGAUGUUGGAUUAAGAUAAAAUUUAA